rnacentral:lncRNA from 1 species
GGGUAGCUAGAAUAAGGAGUCAGUUCCAAGACUAUGUAAAACACAGGCUGGCCACUUAAAGAUGCCUGACAUUUCCAGGAAUUAAGGUCAGUAUAGUGUCUACAAAUGAGCUACUUAGUCUUAAGAUAUCUUUUAUUUUUAUGCCUAAAGAUAAUAUUGGCCUGGAGUGCAGUAUUAUUAAAUCAUUAUUUUUUUUAAAGAUUUAUUUAUUUAUUAUAUGUAAGUACACUGUAGCUGUCUUCAGACACACCAGAAGAGGGCGUCAGAUCUCAUUACGGAUGGUUGUGAGCCACCAUGUGGUUGCUGGGAUUUGAACUCCAGACCUUUGGAAGAGCAGUCGGGUACUCUUACCCACUGAGCCAUCUCACCAGCCCCAAAAUCAUUAUUUUUCUGAGUGGUCUAAACCCACUUGGGAUUCUUCCACUUUGACCUGGAGUUGUGGGAUUGUAGGCAUGUACCACUGUAUCAUGUUAAAGUCAUUGAUUUUCUGAUGCUCUGGAGCUGUCAUAGAGGCCUUGUAAUAAUGCCUCCAAACAUCUGGAGACACCAGAAAGGUUUAAGGUUAUAAUCUCAGGUAACUGCUCUGGCUUUAACAAUUGGCUAAUCCUAGUGGACAGCACUAAUAGCUGCCUCUGAAAAGUAAAGAGCUUACCCAUGGCUUGGUGCAGCUCUGAGUACCUACAUUUGAUUUGGAUGCCAGUAAAAUGCCAGAUGACUUGGCGUCUGCCAGUAAUCCCAGUACUUGGGAAGCAAAGGUAAGAGGACAAGUGUGAGUCAGCUUGCAUUACAUAUGACUUACAGAUUAGGUUCUACCUGUGACAUCCAAGUCCAUUAUCUAAACAGUAGGGACGAGGUGGUACGACUGGAGCAGACUCACCUCUUACUCCAGAACCCAGCUACCACAAAGUUUGAAAGCUGCUUUCAUCACCAUAGCUAAUGCCAUUUUUAUCUGAAGAUGCUUCUGCACUUGUAUUAUUCAUCUCCCAUGAUUUUGAAACAAGUUCACCCUAUUUGCUUCCCUCCAAGAACACUUGUAGGAAUCCAUCCAGUUUUAAUCAGUAUAACUUUCUGUUCAAACCACUGUGAUUCUGACACUUCAGUUAGCAAUACUCUCAAUAUUUGGAGGAGGUAAAAAAAAAAUCAAGAAGAUGCUGGGCAUGAUGAUGUAUGCCUUAUAUCGCAGCAUUUUGGAGUCAGAGGCAAGUGCAUCUCUGAGAUCCAGGGAAAUUGUGGGACUGUAUCAAAAAAAACUAGAAAAUAAAAUAAGAAAUUAGAAAAUCAAUCAAGAUGAAAGAUGUGGGGUAUCUGCAUCUGGGUGAUAUCUGUGUGGUUGAAUUGUUCCUUUGUGUGCACGCUCGGGGAUUCAGCCUCUGUAGUCACUUGGUAGCAUUCCACUUUGGAAAUAGUGAAGGAAACAUUAAGUUCUAUGUGGAAAAUGUGUAGAGGACCGAAAGUUUUCAAUGUAAGUAGCUCUUCCUGGUUGGGGUGUCUCUCAGCUGCUGUGCUCCCGUGGCUAUAAAAAGCAAUUGCUUCCUCAUUUUAGAUACAGAUUUCAGAUGAAAAGGCAGAUUUUCCUGUUUGACUGUAUUGUGCUAUCAACACAUCAGGAGUGAGUGGAAUGUUCUUUGAGCAAUAAAAAAAGGCAUGUGGCCAUUCUGUAACAGCACUUGGGCUUCUCAACUUUUGCCUUCCUUUCCACUCCAUACUUUCUUACCCACAGAACUUGAAAAAAAAAUUACAAAAUAAUUUGUUUCCAUAUCAGACUUUAGACUGUGCAUACAGCUCUUAGCCAAUUGUAAUACAUCUUCUGGUUUUCCCUUCAAAAUUAUCAGUGUCUAAGGGCCAGUUCAGGGAGCAUCAUCUCCUUGAUGCCUGCCUGCAUGCCUCUAGCAUACAGUGUGCCUUGCCUGUCCUCUGAACUUGGUAUUGAUGAGGUUUUCAUUAGGAUAGAUUUUAAGUCUGUUCUGUGUGUACCUAUCUUUAUAAUCUACUUCAAAUCAUGAUCUCAUCUUUUUAGAUCCAUGAGCUGAGUUGUUGGUAUGUGGUGGGAAUCUUCAUUCCCUCUAAAAGCACAUGCAGCCACUUUCUGUAUGAUCCUGCCAGCUAGUUGACAGCUGCAGUCUAGUUGCUUCCCUGAUGUUAAACACUAUUUAGCCUCAUUGUUUCAUUGAGAGCUCUUUUCUCAACCUAAGACCAAGCCUUCAUAAGCCAGUUAAUGUGUUGACAAAGAGGCUAGAAAGGCUAUGGUUUCUGGGUAGAAGAAAGGUCAUCUUUCAUAGAAUGUUCUACAUCAGUGGUUCUCACUAUGGGUCACGACCCCUUUGAGGGUUGCAUAUCAGGAUAUCCUGCAUAUCAGAUACUUAUAUUAUCUAGUAGUAAAACUAUAGUUAUGAAGGAACAACAAAAUAACUUUAUAUGGUUGGGGCCAUCACAGCAUGAGGAACUGUAUUAGAGGUGUGCAGUGUUAGGAAGGUUGGGAACUGCUCUUCUACAGGACCCGCAGUCUGAAGUGCCAUGCAGUUGUGCAGUCUGCCUCCAAAUAUUUCUGCUGAAAAAAGUUUAUUUACACUAAAUACUACUAUUUGACAGCCUUUGGGCAGUUACAAAGAAAACAAACCUGCAAAUCUCCAACUAUGGUGGUGCAGCUUGGACUGGCUCUGCAGUCUGUUUGUGCUUUUGUGGGCGUUUGGCCAGAACAAAAAUAGUAAUGCCAGACCUUGAAGGAGAGUGAUUUCCCAGGUUUAUAUAUCUGAUUCUGUAGACAUUUAAAGCUGUGAGUUUAAAUUUUUUUCAAAAUAUAGUUCUUUAUCAGAGUAAUAACUAAGGGCAAAUUUAGAAAUUACUUUUACAAAUAUAAUUUUUUAAAGCCACCAAAUUUCUAACACAUCAUUAGUUUUUCACCCUAAAGGGAAUUUUCCAAAAGGUACCUUUGUCUGGCCAUACUUGAGAUUUGUGUCAGGUUUUUCUCUUCUGUUUACAGUUACAAGCUUGAAUAUUGCGUUCUUCUUCAGGAAUUUGCUUUCUAAAGGGCAGGGUUGGCUAUUUGCUUUUCUUAUUUACAAAAAUGUGGGUGAGACCAUGGUGUUUGUUCAUAAUCAUAUGGACUGUGUUUGCACAGCCUUGUGGCAGAGCAAGUAAAGUUUACCCUCGUAGUUUCUUGAAGACUGAUACUUUUUCAUUA